UACAGAGGUCCCAAGCGUUGUUCGGAUUCACUGGGCGUAAAGGGUGCGUAGGCGGUCGGAUAAGUCUGACGUGAAAUCUCCGGGCCUAACCCGGAAACUGCGUUGGAAACUAUCUGGCUAGAGGAAUGGAGGGGAGACUGGAAUACUUGGUGUAGCAGUGAAAUGCGUAGAUAUCAAGUGGAACACCGGUGGCGAAGGCGGUUACCUGGAAGAUUCCUGACUCUGAAACACGAAAGCCAGGGGAGCAAACGGG
rnacentral:rRNA from 1 species